AAUACGACUCUCGGCAACGGAUAUCUCGGCUCUCGCAUCGAUGAAGAACGCAGCGAAAUGCGAUACUUGGUGUGAAUUGCAGAAUCCCGUGAACCAUCGAGUCUUUGAACGCAAGUUGCGCCCCAAGCCGUUAGGCUGAGGGCACGUCUGCCUGGGUGUCACGC
rnacentral:rRNA from 1 species